rnacentral:rRNA from 1 species
CCUACGGGAGGCAGCAGUGGGGAAUAUUGGACAAUGGGCGAAAGCCUGAUCCAGCAAUGCCGCGUGAGUGAUGAAGGCCUUAGGGUUGUAAAGCUCUUUUACCAGGGAUGAUAAUGACAGUACCUGGAGAAUAAGCUCCGGCUAACUCCGUGCCAGCAGCCGCGGUAAUACGGAGGGAGCUAGCGUUGUUCGGAAUUACUGGGCGUAAAGCGUGCGUAGGCGGUGAUUCAAGUCAGAGGUGAAAGCCUGGAGCUCAACUCCAGAACGGCCUUUGAAACUAGAUCGCUAGAAUUAUGGAGAGGUAAGUGGAAUUCCGAGUGUAGAGGUGAAAUUCGUAGAUAUUCGGAAGAACACCAGUGGCGAAGGCGACUUACUGGACAUAUAUUGACGCUGAGGUACGAAAGCGUGGGGAGCAAACAGGAUUAGAUACCCUGGUAGUCCACGCCGUAAACGAUGAUAACUAGCUGUUCGGGCUCUCAAGAGUCUUGAGUGGCGCAGCUACGACAUUAAGUUAUACCGUCCGUCGGGUAGGUACGGUCGCGAAGAAGUUAAAACGUUAAAAGUAAGUAAGUUAGACGGACGUGAGACGUGCCGACGGACGACGACGAGGGAGUUAGG